rnacentral:rRNA from 1 species
CCUACGGGAGGCAGCAGUGGGGAAUAUUGGGCAAUGGGCGCAAGCCUGACCCAGCAACGUCGCGUGAAGGAAGAAGGCCCUCGGGUUGUAAACUUUUUUUGUCAGGGACGAAGAAAGUGACGCUACCUGACGUAUAAGCAACGGCUAAAUACGUGACAGCAGCUGCGGUAAUACGUAGGGGGCAGGCGUUAUGCGGGGUGAUGGGGUGUAAAGGGUGUGUAGGGGGGACUGCAAGUGAGGUGGGAAAUUCCAGGGCCCAACCCUGGAACUGCAUUUGAAACUGUAGUUCUUGAGUGAUGGAGAGGCAGGCGGAAUUCGGGGUGUAGCGGUGAAAUGCGUAGAUAUACGGAGGAACACCGGUUGCGAAGGCGGCCUACUGGACAUUAACUGACGCUGAGGCGCGAAAGCGUGGGGAGCAAACAGGAUUAGAUACCCCUGUAGUC